rnacentral:rRNA from 1 species
GCUGACGAGUAGCGAACGGGUGAGUAACGCGUGGGAAUCUGCCCUAUAGUGGGGGAUAAGCCAGGGAAACUUGGUCUAAUACCGCAUAAUCUCUACGGAGGAAAGCGGGGGAUCUUCGGACCUCGCACUAUUGGAUGAGCCCACGUUAGAUUAGCUUGUUGGUGGGGUAAAGGCCUACCAAGGCGACGAUCUAUAGCUGGUCUGAGAGGAUGAUCAGCCACACUGGGACUGAGACACGGCCCAGACUCC